GAUGAACGCUGGCGGCGUGCCUAAUACAUGCAAGUCGAGCGAACAGACGAGGAGCUUGCUCCUCUGACGUUAGCGGCGGACGGGUGAGUAACACGUGGAUAACCUACCUAUAAGACUGGGAUAACUUCGGGAAACCGGAGCUAAUACCGGAUAAUAUAUUGAACCACAUGGUUCAAUAGUGAAAGACGGUUUUGCUGUCACUUAUAGAUGGAUCCGCGCCGCAUUAGCUAGUUGGUAAGGUAACGGCUUACCAAGGCAACGAUGCGUAGCCGACCUGAGAGGGUGAUCGGCCACACUGGAACUGAGACACGGUCCAGACUCCUACGGGAGGCAGCAGUAGGGAAUCUUCCGCAAUGGGCGAAAGCAUGACGGAGCAACGCCGCGUGAGUGAUGAAGGUCUUCGGAUCGUAAAACUCUGUUAUUAGGGAAGAACAAAUGUGUAAGUAACUAUGCACGUCUUGACGGUACCUAAUCAGAAAGCCACGGCUAACUACGUG
rnacentral:rRNA from 1 species